rnacentral:sRNA from 1 species
GAGCCAGCUUGCGUUCAAAUCCCAGAACUCAUAUGGAUGGAAAGAGAGGAUAGAUUCUCCAUGCACGUAUGCACAGUAAUACGGUUUUGGGUUUUGUUUUUAAAGUAUAGCUUUUGUCGUCAAAGAACGUUAUUCUCCAUGACCUCGGUGACGAUGCAAUACUACUAGUAAAAGUACAAUCCAUGGCUCCAAACCUUAGUCGGCCCCGAGACCUUAGCACAACUGACUCCAUGAUGGAGUGCCAUUCAGGCUGUAAAACUCAGCUUGCCCAUAGCAGCACCACCUGCUAAAAUGAAAACAAAGACUUACUCCACCAAAGUCCAUGGCUCUGGUUCCCAUUGCCUCUGCUUUUGGAUGAGGAAACUGUCGUUUAAGGAGGACGUCCAAAACUGUGAUUAGUAAUAUGCUGAGGGGAAACUGAGGCAAUGUCGGGAAAGCUGCACCAAUCACACUGCGAAAGUCUGGAUCAAGCAAGACCAGAAGUCGAGGCAGAAAGGACGAGAUCAGCUGCUGGUUCAGCUGGACAGGUCUGGUUAAGGCUUGCUCACCGUCAGCCUCGAGAGAUGGCUCAACUGCCACGAUCUCUGACUGCCCCUGCAGAGGACCCAGGUUCAAUUCCCAGCACCCAUGUGGCAGGCCACAACAUUCUAUGACCCCAGUUUGAAGAGAGCCAACACUGUCUUCUGGUUUCCAAGGGCACCAGAAAUGCAUGGUACACAGACAAGCAGACAGACAGACACAUAAAAUGAAAAUAUAUAGAUCUUUAAAAAAGGAAGGAAAGAAAGAGGAGAAAGGUUAGAUCAGCCACUAAUUCAAGGAUUCAGGGUUCAACCAUGUUUUUUACAAAGAAAGAAAUUUAAAGGAAGGAAAGGGUGCUGCUGGUAAGACAGCCCAACAGGUAAAGGGCCUUGCCAUCCAGUUUGAGAAUGGAGUUCAAAUCCCCGUACCCCAAGUGGGAGGAGAGAACGACUCCAGCAGGUUGGUCCUUGACCUCCACGUGUGCACUGUGGCACCUGCAUACCCUGUCACCAUCCACUAAUGCAGGCUUAAUCCUAGAAUCAGCCAGUAGGUGGAGAUGCUCCCUGUCUAUCAUAGAAGUGUUCAGGAAAUAGAAUCGAAUUGAUUCCUUUGGGAUUUUGAAAACGACAACAACAGACUCAUGCUCUCGGUGUGUGAAUGUUUCCACUGUCUAGGACAUGGCACACAGUUGUGGCAGCCUUUCCUGUGUCCUUGUCGGCUGUGGCUGCCGUCCUUCCCCUCUCUUUCAUUUCAUAUUAUCUACUCGGUGUUUCUAGGAAAGGGUCACCAAGGUUGAGCUACAGCCAUUGCUCUGUCAUUUCCUGUUCUGCUCAGGUCCCUGGAAAUACCUCCACACCAAUAUCAGCUAAUGGUGGCAGCCCAGGGCGAUAGGCAACUCCACCUCUGGAAUCCGCCCCAGCUGCUCGCUCAAUGCCUGAGUGCAUUCAUUGGCCCCUGACUCUCGAGAGACACUUCUUAGGGGUGACAUCACACUGAGAGGACGCCGUGCUGUAAGUCUGCAGACCGGAGCAGACUAGAGCCUAGUGCUUUUCUUACCCCAUCCCAUGGAAAGGACAUACUGGAAUAUGUAAAACAGCACUCCACACCAUGUGGCUAAUAAAUGUCAUUUCUCUACAUUCUGACUGCUCACCUGACCUUAUAGGGAACUAGGGAGAAAAAUCACCAUUAAGUCUCAACCUGUGUGUACUUCAGACAUUGAGUGUCCCCAAAAGCCUUUGUCGAAGGCUUGGUUCCAAAGGAGCCACUGUUAGAGAUGGUGGAGCCUAGUGAAAGGUAUCUCGGGAUGGGGAGGAGCUCUACUGGAAAAGGGUUACAGGCUCCUGCUUCCUCUCCUCUCUUUGAUUCCCUGUUCAUGGUUUAGUACCAUUCCUCUACCACACUCUGGUCAUGACGUGUGGCCUUCUCAGGGCACAGCUUGUCAGGGGCCCAAAGCAAUGAGCUACUUAAUCACAGACCGGAAGCUACAGAACUAUGAGCCAAAAUAAACCUUUUUCUGAUCCA